ACUCCUACGGGAGGCAGCAGUGGGGAAUAUUGCACAAUGGGGGAAACCCUGAUGCAGCCAUGCCGCGUGUGUGAAGAAGGCCUUCGGGUUGUAAAGCACUUUCAGUAGGGAGGAAGGUGGGUAUGUUAAUAGCUGCAUUAUUUGACGUUAGCGACAGAAGAAGCACCGGCUAACUCCGUGCCAGCAGCCGCGGUAAUACGGAGGGUGCGAGCGUUAAUCGGAAUUACUGGGCGUAAAGCGCAUGCAGGUGGUUUGUUAAGUCAGAUGUGAAAGCCCGGGGCUCAACCUCGGAAUUGCAUUUGAAACUGGCAGACUAGAGUACUGUAGAGGGGGGUAGAAUUUCAGGUGUAGCGGUGAAAUGCGUAGAGAUCUGAAGGAAUACCGGUGGCGAAGGCGGCCCCCUGGACAGAUACUGACACUCAGAUGCGAAAGCGUGGGGAGCAAACAGGAUUAGAUACCCUGGUAGGAUAGCGU
rnacentral:rRNA from 1 species